rnacentral:rRNA from 1 species
GAUGAACGCUGGCGGCGUGCCUAAUACAUGCAAGUCGGGCGAACAGAUAAGGAGCUUGCUCCUUUGACGUUAGCGGCGGACGGGUGAGUAACACGUGGGUAACCUACCUAUACGACUGGGAUAACUUCGGGAAACCGGAGCUAAUACCGGAUAACAUUUGGAACCGCAUGGUUCUAAAGUGAAAGAUGGUUUUGCUAUCACUUAUAGAUGGACCCGCGCCGUAUUAGCUAGUUGGUAAGGUAACGGCUUACCAAGGCGACGAUACGUAGCCGACCUGAGAGGGUGAUCGGCCACAAUGGAACUGAGACACGGUCCAGACUCCUACGGGAGGCAGCAGUAGGGAAUCUUACGCAAUGGGCGAAAGCCUGACGGAGCUACGCCGCGUGAGUGAGGAAGGGUUUCGGCUCGUAAAACUCUGUUAUUAGGGAAGAACAAACGUGUAAGUAACUGUGCACGUCUUGACGGUGCCUAAUCAGAAAGCCACGGCUAACUACGUG